rnacentral:hammerhead_ribozyme from 1 species
AUGCAGAUGACGAGUCCCAAAUAGGAAGAAAUGCGCAUCCUGGAU